GAGGAAUAUUGGUCAAUGGGCGCGAGCCUGAACCAGCCAUCCCGCGUGAAGGAAGAAGGCGCUAUGCGUUGUAAACUUCUUUUCCAGGGGGCGAACGUUCCGUACGUGUACGGGAGUGACGGUACCCUGGGAAUAAGCAUCGGCUAACUCCGUGCCAGCAGCCGCGGUAAUACGGAGGAUGCGAGCGUUAUCCGGAUUUAUUGGGUUUAAAGGGUGCGUAGGCGGAUUAAUAAGUCAGUGGUGAAAACCUGCAGCUUAACUGUGGAACUGCCGUUGAUACUGUUAGUCUUGAGUAUGGUCAAGGUAGGCGGAAUGUGUAAUGUAGCGGUGAAAUGCUUAGAUAUUACACAGAACACCGAUUGCGAAGGCAGCUUACUGGGCCGUUACUGACGCUGAUGCACGAAAGCGUGGGGAUCGAAC
rnacentral:rRNA from 1 species